AGAAAGUUAGUCUAAUUAAAGACAGCUGAUUUCGGCUCAGCAAAUUAUAGCAAACACUAUAACUUUCUU
rnacentral:tRNA from 2 species